rnacentral:lncRNA from 1 species
AAGUCUCUCUGGUUUAGCUUCUUCUCCAUCAUCUCUGAGGUCUUGAUUCAAUGAAACUAGAAUAAGAAAACCCCGAGUUGAAAAAAAUCAUUUUAUAUCUAUAUAUCUACAUAUCUGUAUAUCUGUAUAUCUGUCUGGGUUAUGUAGAUUUAUAAUAUAUAUGCAUAUGUUAAAUAUGUAUAUUUUAUAUGUGUAUAUAUUAAAUAUGUAUAAAAGUAAGCGUGUGCUUAAGUAGUUUCCUGAGCAGAACCGGCUUGUUGAGUUGUGGGACACAAGGAUGAUUUUGUUUCAGGGCUUUCCAAGAUCAUUAGCAUACUCUGAAAAUCAGUACGAGGCUGAUAUUUCCAGCUGCCUGUGAGAUUCUGUUGUGUGAGACAUACCCUGAAGAAGUGGUCAGUGUGCCACCAUUUGCACAGCCCAUCCUGUAGAGUCAUUUGGUAUUGGUUUGUUAACUACAGACCACUGUUGAGCCUGUUAAUCAGAAACAAAGAAGUAACCUGUGCCCAGAGGUACAUUUUCAAUUUACAGAGAUGGGACUUCAGGGAAGUCUGCACUAGCAUAUUUCCCACAGGUAUGGCAGUAUCUUAACAGGUAUGGGAGUAUCUUAAUAUGGCAGUAUCAGGUUUUUCCCUCAAUCUAAACAAGUAUUCUAUUACAGUUUAAUUUAGAUAUAUUGUAGAAAAGUUUACAGAUCAUUUUUUAUGGCUGACAGCAGGCAAAACUGGAAGGCCUGUGAU